CAUUUCCUUUAGGAAUAAAGUUUAAGUGGCAUGUCAUGUUUUACAAGGCCCUUCAUUAACCACCAUCUCUCUACCACUCCCUCUUCUUGUGCUCUAUCUUCCAGCCACCCUAAAUCUCUUUUGGCUUAUCCAGUGUGGGGAUGCUUUCUCUUCUGGCCUCUGUACAUGCUGUUAUUCUCUCUACAAGCAAUCAUUUCUGAGCUAAGUCUUUAAUUCUUCAGUUCUGAGUUUAAAAGUCACCUUCCUUUGAGAAGUGAUUCAUUUCUGCUCCACCUGCCACUCCUAACCCCUACACACUCUAGAGCAGCUUAUAUUAAUCUGGCAACUAUAAUGAAGGAACCAGAGUUGUAUCUAUAUUCCCAUCAGCUUUACAUUUUUCUUCUUCCUCUACGAUUUCCUUCCAUAUCUUGUGGUUUUCAGUGAGGUGGUGCAUUAGCUGACAAAAUAUUCGCCGUCUGCUUUUUCUUCUUGGUGGUUCUGUGAAAUUUAAAAUAAAUAUAUUCUAAUCAUAGCAAUAUGAUUUAAUCAUUCAACAAAUAUUAAGUGCCU
rnacentral:lncRNA from 1 species